UAGAGUUUGAUCCUGGCUCAGAUUGAACGAUGGCGGCAUGCCUUACACAUGCAAGUCGAACGGUAACGCGGGGCAACCUGGCGACGAGUGGCGAACGGGUGAGUAAUAUAUCGGAACGUGCCCAGUUGUGGGGGAUAACUGCUCGAAAGAGCAGCUAAUACCGCAUACGACCUGAGGGUGAAAGCGGGGGAUCGCAAGACCUCGCGCAAUUGGAGCGGCCGAUAUCAGAUUAGGUAGUUGGUGGGGUAAAGGCCUACCAAGCCGACGAUCUGUAGCUGGUCUGAGAGGACGACCAGCCACACUGGGACUGAGACACGGCCCAGACUCCUACGGGAGGCAGCAGUGGGGAAUUUUGGACAAUGGGGGCAACCCUGAUCCAGCCAUGCCGCGUGCGGGAAGAAGGCCUUCGGGUUGUAAACCGCUUUUGUCAGGGAAGAAAAGACUCCUACUAAUACUGGGGGUUCAUGACGGUACCUGAAGAAUAAGCACCGGCUAACUACGUGCCAGCAGCCGCGGUAAUACGUAGGGUGCAAGCGUUAAUCGGAAUUACUGGGCGUAAAGCGUGCGCAGGCGGUUAUGCAAGACAGAUGUGAAAUCCCCGGGCUCAACCUGGGAACUGCAUUUGUGACUGCAUGGCUAGAGUACGGUAGAGGGGGAUGGAAUUCCGCGUGUAGCAGUGAAAUGCGUAGAUAUGCGGAGGAACACCGAUGGCGAAGGCAAUCCCCUGGACCUGUACUGACGCUCAUGCACGAAAGCGUG
rnacentral:rRNA from 1 species